rnacentral:rRNA from 1 species
UACGUAGGCAGCGAGCGUUGUUCGGAGUUACUGGGCGUAAAGGGUGUGUAGGCGGUUGUUUAAGUUUGGUGUGAAAUCUCCCGGCUCAACCGCGGAUUGUCGUUGGAAACUGCCUCGCUAGAGUCCGGAAGAGGAGAGCGGAAUUCCUGGUGUAGCGGUGGAAUGCGCAGAUAUCAGGAAGAACACCCGUGGCGAAGGCGGCUCUCUGGGCCGGAACUGACGCUGAGGAGCGAAAGCGUGGGGAGCGAACAGG